UAUCCAUUUAGAGUUGGGUUCUUUAGAGACUAAAUUAUUUGGAGUACUUGGAGUCUGGAGACCAACUCUAGAACCAUUAGAUCGGAACUGAUGUGGACGGUAGAUUUGAGUGACUAACUGUCAUUUUCUUUUUAAAUUAAAAUUGUUGGAUACACAUGUUUGUAUACAACAUUGUACACCGUAUGUCUGCACAAUCAUAUCCCCCGUAUCGAACGCCAUUCAAGUGGCAGUUACUGCUCAAUUGUUCCCCUAAAAUUACUCCCCCAAAUCAAAUCCGAUAUUCCGAAGAGAUAAACCAGACCGAUAAGAACGGCUGAGGACAACAACGGGAGAGUUCAGAUAAGGGUCGACAACUAAACCAUAGUUGCGUAUUGCGGAACAACGCAACGUUCAUCACAAACGCGAAACUUGAGUAUAGAAGGGAAACGACGGGGAAUGAGUUCAGAACGAAGGAGGAGUUCGAGGCUCAUUGAGAGUCCUUGGAUAUACAAUUGGCCGAAAAAAGCACCUGUUUACAUUAAUUUAGACGUAGAGGGCGGGAACUCUUCUGAGGGACAACUGAAAAGGCUUAUAAAGCCGGUACAAGCCCAAGGUAAUGCAAUGCAUGAACAUACGGGAACAACAGGGGACUUAAAUAAGGCAAAAAAUUCUGGGAAGUUAGAUUUAAGAUCAGAAUAGGGAUAAACAAAUCGACGCCAGCUGAUGAGAUUAGUGACGAAGAUGAUGACUUCGUCACACCGGUUGAACAGUUUGGGAAGACUAAGAAUGUUAGUAUGAAGAGACAUGGUGAAAAGAGGAUGAACGAGACAAAUGCAAGUAGAUGCACUGAAAGACGGGACAUGGUCACUAAAAUAAGGGAUAGAGAGACAGAGGAUACAAAAAAAGGUGAGAUGGUGGUAGAACAAGUUCACUGAACGAGUUUGGGGAUAAGAUAUGCAGGACAACCAGAAAAGCAUGCUGAACAAAUUACGAGUGGUGUACGGGCACAAAAUACUAACUUGGGAUUCAAACGCCCAAAUGGAUAAUGUGAUUAGAGGGGCAAACUACCUGGCCAAGGGAAAGAAGGUUGUCAGAUAUAGAUUGCUGUUAUAUUUAGCUACAAAGUAGGAAAUAAAUAUACUUUAAAUUUAGUAUUCUGCAUUGUGCUGGGGAUUUAAUUCAGUUAUGCCUUUUUUGUACUUUAAUGAGAAACACAUUUACGUGAAGUCUGUGUUCCCAUUAGUUUACAAUCUGAUUGUUACUUUUGAA